GAUGAACGCUGGCGGCGUGCCUAAUACAUGCAAGUAGAACGCUGAAGGAAGGAGCUUGCUCUUUCCGGAUGAGUUGCGAACGGGUGAGUAACGCGUAGGUAACCUGCCUGGUAGCGGGGGAUAACUAUUGGAAACGAUAGCUAAUACCGCAUAACAGUAGAUGUUGCAUGAUAUCUACUUAAAAGGUGCAAUUGCACCACUACCAGAUUGACCUGCGUUGUAUUAGCUAGUUGGUGAGGUAACGGCUCACCAAGGCGACGAUACAUAGCCGACCUGAGAGGGUGAUCGGCCACACUGGGACUGAGACACGGCCCAGACUCCUACGGGAGGCAGCAGUAGGGAAUCUUCGGCAAUGGACGGAAGUCUGGCCGAGCAACGCCGCGUGAGUGAAGAAGGUUUUCGGAUCGUAAAGCUCUGUUGUAAGAGAAGAACGAGUGUGAGAGUGGAAAGUUCACACUGUGACGGUAUCUUACCAGAAAGGGACGGCUAACUACGUG
rnacentral:rRNA from 1 species